rnacentral:tRNA from 1 species
AGUUAAUGAACUUGUAUAAGUAUAUAUUUUGAAAAUAUAAAAAAGGAUAAUAAUCUCCUAUUAACUU